UGCGGGUUGAUGUAAAGGUUGCAUACUAGACUCAUGAUCUGGAAGUGGUAGUUCGAAUCUAUCACCCGCAC